GAAUUGUGGACUGUGAAUUAUACCCAAACAGCACGAAUCGUGGAACACAUUCGUACAAAACCAUAACUGUAUAAAUAAAAUGACGCAAGCACGAACUUGUUAGAUAUAUGACAGUACAAUUGAAAUCAAAAAGUCGGCGAACAUACACUUAGAUUUACCCAUGGCUUUUUUAAUGAAAAACAGCACAAACACCUUCUGUCCCAAUACCCUUAAUAGAGCUAUUAAACAUCUUCUCCUUUUUGGUUAAGUUCAUGUUUUACAUAUUAAUUAUAUUUGCAUCUAUAAGAAGAAUCAUAAAAGCACCAACCCUUUCGUUUUCAAUACAGUUUCAUUUUAUUCUGAACUCGUAAUUCUUUAGUUGCAUAUUUGUUUCAUUUUAUGGAGACAAAAAAAUGGUCGCUUAAAAAGACACUAAAUUUGGUGAAGAUAGUCCAACUGAGGGGAGCAUUCUUCUUUUAUGUUUUUGCUGUUUAGGCUUCUAAAGCAGCUAUUACAUGUUGAACAGUGGUUGCCAAUUAGAGAUUUUUAUUCAUGUUAAGAUUUGAAAUAUUAUGUACCAUUCCUUAUAUAUGUAUAUACAUAAUAUAAACUUAUUAUUACUCUUGCAUAUUGAAGAACACGUCACAAGAGGGUUUCAUAAGAAAUAAAAAUUAAAAAACAAAAUCCUCCCACCCGCCCCAUUUUUUUCAAAAAUUUGGAUGAAAAUCUACUAAUUUAUUUUAGUUGGCCUAA
rnacentral:lncRNA from 1 species